AUUUUGGAUUAGUUUUUUUCCAAAUGAUUUCCAAUGAAUGCAAAUUCAUAGGUAUUUCUAAUUUACAUAUAUGUUAUAUAAAUUUAAUUUUAUGAAUGAUUCUGAGGUUGUUAAAGGUCUCUAAGGCAGAAGCUAUUAUCUCCCAAUUAUCCUUCUCCUUUCUUUAAUAUAAAUACCUGAUUUUGUCAUAGCAUUUUGCAGCUUAAAGACUGCAUUUUCCAGGCCUGAAAGCAGCCCAGUGAGCUUUGGGAGUAGGUUGGGGAAUUUUAGGUGGUUCUUCUUAGAAGUCUUCUUUAAAGUGAGCAUGCAUGCCCUUCUUUUCUCCCUCUGUCUAGUUUCCUGGAACUCAGAUAUACACGUGAUGUCUGGAGCUCUGGCAGCCAUUUUGGAUGAUGACAUGAAGGAGUUACCAGCACUAAAAUUGCCAAAGAAGACCUGGAAGGUGUCUGGGUUGCUGAAGAGCUCAUGAAGCCACUGCAUCAGGCUGGACUGCUGAAUAUCAGUUUUCUUGACAGAACAAAAUCUUGUUUGUGUAAAUCACUAUUAUCCAGGUCUCUCUUAGUUGCAGCAAAAUUCAGUUUCUACAGAUAAAUUUCCACCUGAAGAACUUAGUAAACUGACAUAUGGACCAAAAAAUUUUUAUUGGAGGGUUUGUGAUUCCAAAAUGGAUCAAAUGACAGAUGCUGCUACAAAGAGACCAAUCAACAACUGCUCAGCAGAGAUACAGAUCUGAAGCACAGAAGUGCAAUAGACACUCCUCAUGCCUUCGCCAGGAGCAUGGAAUUCUUCCCAGCGUCACAGAAGAUGGCACAGCCUGGGGACAAUCGGGAAUCACCUGGAGGAUGGCAGGUAGCACUGUUAUAUUUACUUAAAAAUUUGGCCAGGCAUGGUGGUUCACCCCUGUAAUCCAGCACUUUGGGAGGCCAAGAUGGGAGGAUAGCUUGAAGCCUGGAGUUUGAGACCAGCCUGGGCAACAAAAUGAGACCUUAUCUCUGAAAAGAUUUAAUCUUUUAAAAAAAUUUUUUAAAUUU
rnacentral:lncRNA from 1 species